rnacentral:rRNA from 1 species
UACGUAGGUCCCGAGCGUUGUCCGGAUUUAUUGGGCGUAAAGCGAGCGCAGGUGGUUUAUUAAGUCUGGUGUAAAGGCAGUGGCUCAACCAUUGUAUGCAUUGGAAACUGGUAGACUUGAGUGCAGGAGAGGAGAGUGGAAUUCCGUGUGUAGCGGUGAAAUGCGUAGAUAUAUGGAGGAACACCGGUGGCGAAAGCGGCUCUCUGGCCUGUAACUGACACUGAGGCUCGAAAGCGUGGGGAGCAAACAGG